UACGGAGGGUGCAAGCGUUAUCCGGAUUUAUUGGGUUUAAAGGGUCCGUAGGCGGAACGUUAAGUCAGUGGUGAAAGCCCACAGCUCAACUGUGGAACUGCCAUUGAUACUGGCGAUCUUGAGUGCGUGUGAAGUUAGCGGAAUGUGUGGUGUAGCGGUGAAAUGCUUAGAUAUCACACAGAACACCAAUUGCGAAGGCAGCUGGCUAACACGCAACUGACGCUGAGGGACGAAAGUGUGGGGAUCAAACAGG
rnacentral:rRNA from 1 species